AUUUGGGAGACCACUGCAUGGAAUUGUAGUAGUCUCUAGAUACAGAUGGCUUUAUUAAGAAAUGGAAGAAAUAGUAAUGGAAAGACAUAAUGAUUGAGAGAGAAAAAUAUGAAUUUUAAAAGUAUAUAUAAUCUUCAAUUUAAGGUAUUACAGAACUUUGCUGCACCAAAGAUUUAAUAUUGUAAAAUUCAACUAUAUCUUACUGUAUGGAAAAACUACAAAAUAUCUUUACAACA
rnacentral:lncRNA from 1 species